rnacentral:rRNA from 1 species
GACGAACGCUGGCGGCGUGCUUAACACAUGCAAGUCGAACGGAAAGGCCCUGCUUUUGUGGGGUGCUCGAGUGGCGAACGGGUGAGUAACACGUGAGUAACCUGCCCUUGACUUUGGGAUAACUUCAGGAAACUGGGGCUAAUACCGGAUAGGAGCUCCUGCUGCAUGGUGGGGGUUGGAAAGUUUCGGCGGUUGGGGAUGGACUCGCGGCUUAUCAGCUUGUUGGUGGGGUAGUGGCUUACCAAGGCUUUGACGGGUAGCCGGCCUGAGAGGGUGACCGGCCACAUUGGGACUGAGAUACGGCCCAGACUCCUACGGGAGGCAGCAGUGGGGAAUAUUGCACAAUGGGCGGAAGCCUGAUGCAGCAACGCCGCGUGCGGGAUGACGGCCUUCGGGUUGUAAACCGCUUUCGCCUGUGACGAAGCGUGAGUGACGGUAAUGGGUAAAGAAGCACCGGCUAACUACGUGCCAGCAGCCGCGGUGAUACGUAGGGUGCGAGCGUUGUCCGGAUUUAUUGGGCGUAAAGGGCUCGUAGGUGGUUGAUCGCGUCGGAAGUGUAAUCUUGGGGCUUAACCCUGAGCGUGCUUUCGAUACGGGUUGACUUGAGGAAGGUAGGGGAGAAUGGAAUUCCUGGUGGAGCGGUGGAAUGCGCAGAUAUCAGGAGGAACACCAGUGGCGAAGGCGGUUCUCUGGGCCUUUCCUGACGCUGAGGAGCGAAAGCGUGGGGAGCGAACAGGCUUAGAUACCCUGGUAGUCCACGCUGUAAACGGUGGGUACUAGGGUGUGGGGGGUCCAUUCCCCGGGUUCCGUGCCGUAGCUAACGCUUUAAGUACCCCGCCUGGGGAGUACGGCCGCAAGGCUAAAACUCAAAGGAAUUGACGGGGCCCCGCACAAGCGGCGGAGCAUGCGGAUUAAUUCGAUGCAACGCGUAGAACCUUACCUGGGUUUGACAUGGAUCGGGAGUGCUCAGAGAUGGGUGUGCCUCUUUUGGGGUCGGUUCACAGGUGGUGCAUGGCUGUCGUCAGCUCGUGUCGUGAGAUGUUGGGUUAAGUCCCGCAACGAGCGCAACCCUUGUUCACUGUUGCCAGCACGUUAUGGUGGGGACUCAGUGGAGACCGCCGGGGUCAACUCGGAGGAAGGUGGGGAUGACGUCAAGUCAUCAUGCCCCUUAUGUCCAGGGCUUCACGCAUGCUACAAUGGCUGGUACAGAGAGUGGCGAGCCCGUGAGGGUGAGCGAAUCUCGGAAAGCCGGUCUCAGUUCGGAUUGGGGUCUGCAACUCGACCUCAUGAAGUCGGAGUCGCUAGUAAUCGCAGAUCAGCAACGCUGCGGUGAAUACGUUCCCGGGGCUUGUACACACCGCCCGUCA